rnacentral:rRNA from 1 species
UACGUAGGGGGCAAGCGUUGUCCGGAUUUAUUGGGCGUAAAGAGCGUGUAGGCGGCUUUACAGGUCCGUUGUGAAAACUCGAGGCUCAACCUCGAGACGCCGGUGGAAACCGUAAAGCUAGAGUCCCGAAGAGGAGAGUGGAAUUCCUGGUGUAGCGGUGAAAUGCGCAGAUAUCAGGAAGAACACCCGUGGCGAAGGCGGCUCUCUGGGACGGUACUGACGCUGAGACGCGAAAGCGUGGGGAGCGAACAGG